GCCCGACCUGGGCAACGGGCGCGUCGUCCGCUACGACCGGACGGACGCCGCACCGCCGCGGGUGUUCGACGCUGUCGGCGGGUU
rnacentral:tRNA from 1 species